rnacentral:lncRNA from 1 species
AUUUUUUUUUUUUUGUUAUUUGCGCUCUUACCAUUUGUUUUAUCAUAUAAUCUAAUAAAUAAAAAAUUAUAUUAUUAAAAUGAUAAUGAGAGUGUGAUAAGCAAAAAAAAGAAGUGUAAAUAACAUUUUUUGCACAGUAAUUUCUAAUUAGUUCUAUUCAACAUAUAGUACAGGGAAGGGUGCUUGCUACUGUAGUUGCCAAACACUCGAGGAAAUGUGGGUUUCUAUCUUUGGUUUAUAUGCGUCACAUGAAUCACAUAUAUUUGCUAACAAGUUCCAAAAGCCAAUAUCGUUGUAGAAGUUUGUCAGAGAAGAGGACUAGAAAGAAAGCUAUUAGAACAAAAAUUUUCUUUUACAGGAGGGAUUUUAGAUUCAUGUAACAUAUACAAAAAUCAAAUUUUAUAUUUGAAUAGAAAUCAUGCGUCAUGUAUCAACAAAUGCUACUUUUGGAAAUUUUUUUUAGAUGGUGCAGAAAAAAUUAAUCUUAGAAAUCUUUUUUCUUCUUCUAACCUUAUUUGACACCCAAUUGUUGUUCUUUUGGGCCAGGUUGAUUUCACAUUGUGCAAAUUUAUAUCUCACCUUGUUGGCCCAUGGACCCAAUUCUAAAACCGUUGUGGCAAUAGCAGGGUGUAGAAAUACCUAAUUCACUCUCUCCCACCCUCUCUCUCUCUUCUGGGUUUUUGAGUUUAGAGCCCAGAGGAAGGAAACCUUACAUGUACACCUAAUAGUGUGCCAAGUACAUAUUGUAUUACAAAUGAUUAUACACUCGUGCGUAUAAAUACAUAUAGGAUGCGUAUAAAGAUGCAUAAGUUAAGUAUUAUUUUCAGGAGUCACGGUCCUCGUCACCACGUUCUAUUAACAUUUGAUAAGAAUACACUUAUCAAUGCAACGUUGGGUUUUACACUCCAAAUAUUUCUUUUUUCGCUCACCCCUAAAAUCAUAUUUCUUUGCACGGAAAAGACAUUUAUGGAGUAUUUUAUACACAUAACCCAAGAUGCUAUUCUUUCUUGACUCGUACCAUGCCAAACAUGCCAAUUAAUAAACAAGUAGAGGCUGCAAAUCUAGGUAAUAAUUGUACGAUUAUGGGCAAAAGUUAAAAACUUGGAUAAAUUCGAUCUUGUAAAUUUAGUGAUUCAAAUUUUAUCAACUAUUGAAUAUUUGAGCCGGAGAGAUCGUAUAGCAAAUUUUAAACUACUAAAUUUACAUAGACCGAAUCUAUUCAAGUGUUUGUUCGGGCAAAAUGCGACAAAUUAUAUGAAUUUAGCUUCAUUGUCUAUUUCUACAUCAGUUGGCAAACAAUCAAAGCUCUAAAAGCGACAUAAAUAUAUCAGGUUUUGGUUCGAUGGGAACGGAAUCAACAUCAAUUAUUGAAAAGUUUACAAAAAACCGCAUCUUACUCUUUGUCCUUCCUCUUCCUUGGAAAUAACAUCCAUCACCCCACCCUCCCAUCUGCCUUGCCCCACUUGGAAAUAACCUUAAAAGGACCGAAAAUAGUAGUAGUCUCAGAAUAUUUCUUGCAGACUAAACCCUGAUUUCCAUCUUAGGGAGAGCUCCCAAGAAGCAUCUACUAUUUCGUAAAAUUUGUUCCGACCUCUAAAACUGUCAUGAAUACGAACGUGAUCUCAAGCUUCAUAGCCAUAGCAACUUCCAUCUCCUUCCUCCUCCUCUCACCCCCGUCAAAGUCCUUUUAUCAUUCCUUGUUCUUAUCUGAUUCCCUUUCAUGCAAUGAAUCAAUAGCAAACCACCUCUACAUCCUAACCAAGCGGCCUCAUGUUGCUGGGUCCGAAGCCAAUGCCGAAGCAGCGGCUUAUGUUCUAUCCACCCUCACUUCCUAUAAGGUUCGAUCACAUAUAACAACCUAUGAAGUUGCCUUGACUUACCCCAUCUCACGUUCCUUGACCCUAAAACCUACUCCUCAAGACAGCCCCGUCAAGUUCGAUCUCCACCAAGACAUUUACGACGGUGAUCCUCAUGCCGACGUGGCAGACGAAGUCCUACCGACGUUCCACGCAUAUGCCAAGUCUGCCACUGUAGCUGGACCUGUAGUAUAUGCCAAUUACGGGCGCGUACAGGACUAUGCUGUAUUGAAGCAAAUGAAAGUAAAUGUGUCAGGGAAUGUUGUAUUGGCAAAGUAUGGAAAGAUAUACAGAGGGGACAUUGUGGAAAAUGCUUAUGCAGAAGGUGCUAUAGGUGUAUUAAUUUACACAGAUAGGAAGGAUUACGGUGGAGGAGGUGAUGCAAAAUGGUUUCCUGAUGACAAGUGGAUGCCUUCAAGUGGAGUCCAGGUGGGAUCCGUGUACAAUGGGGCCGGUGAUCCCACUACACCUGGCUGGCCUAGUUCAGGGUUGUGCGAGAGACUAUCAGAUGAUGAUGCGGAGAAAGGAGGAGAAGUUCCAUUGAUACCAUCAUUACCUAUUUCAUGGGCUGAUGGUGACAGAAUCCUGAGGUCCAUAGAUGGACAAGUGGCAAAUGACGAUUGGCAGGGAGGGAAAGAUGCUCCUGUCUACAAGGUUGGGCCAGGACCAGCAAUUCUGAAUCUUAGUUAUACUGUAAGUCUCGAAAAACCAGCAAAAUGUCGAAUCUGUAGAGCUGAAACAGGCAUGCAGUAACUAAGAAAGCCCAUACCGUGAGUUUUGCAGGGAAAGCAAGUUAUAACCACAAUCCAAAAUGUUAUUGGAAUCAUUGAAGGUGUAGAAGAACCUGAUAGGUAAGUUUGAAUAAUUCAAACAUGCAAUGUACAGCAAAUUAAUACGCAUCUCUGAAACAAUUCUGCAUGAUGAAAUUGUCACGUAAGAAAACGACAAGCAAAUUGUUAUAGCAAGCCCUACAAUAGAAAUGAUAGCCAAAAUGAAAUCAUAAUAUUAUUUUCCAAAAAACUGAGCCUGGAUAAACAAAAUCAAGCUUACCGAGUAACUUUCUAAUGCUAGAUUUUCCUCACACAGUUGAAAAUUUUCUAGAUAUGUCAUACUUGGGAAUCACCGGGAUGCAUGGACAUUUGGAGCUGUUGAUCCAAAUAGUGGUACAGCAGCCCUGCUUGAGGUAUGUAAAAUUUUGGUGCUUAAAUCGUCUUAACAUCCCUAGAUUCAAAUUCCAAGGAAAAUAGCAGUUCAACUGAUAUUUUUGAGAGAGACAGGUUGCACACAGGAUGUGGAAGCUCCAGGAAAAAGGUUGGAAACCUCGGCGAACAAUUAUAUUUUGUAAUUGGGAUGCUGAAGAAUAUGGCCUGGUUUGUCUUUCGCUCCUCUCACUGUAGCACAUUCACUCGUCCACAUGCAGCCCUGGCUCCUUUCAAAUAACCAAAGCCAGAAAGAGGCUGUGUGAGCUAAUACAGGCAGAACAUAUUUGUUGUUUUAACUGAAUUAUAAGCAGUUCACCAUCUUCAGAUAGGAUCAACAGAAUGGGUUGAAGAGAACAGGGAAAUGCUAGCAUCAAGAGCUGUAGCCUAUAUGAAUGUUGAUAUUGCAGUUCAAGGAUUAGGAUUUUAUGCCUCUGCAACUCCACAGCUCGAUGAGCUACUAAUAAAAGCAACUAAGCAGGUACGAAACGAAUCUCAAGGGUUGGGGCCACAGGGUUUUACAACAUUGCCAUAUGCAUUAACAAUGAUUGCAUAUGGUUAAUCCACGUAGAAAGCAACAAGUUCAAAAAUAUAUAUAUAUAGAGGUGCAAAUGUGGUUUAACAGCACAAGAAUACCAGUCUGUCAAACUUCAAAUGUCAAUUUAUGUUUUAUCUUUCUAUUCUCACUCAAAUUAGAUAAACUUCUGACUUAGGUCCAAGACCCGGAUAACUCCUCGCAAUCCAUCUACCAAUCCUGGAUUCGCUCCAGUGAAAAUCCUAAGGUAAGCAUCUUAAGACAAUUUAAAUAAGAAAGAGAGUUGCAUUAGAGUUCUUAAAUGUGAACCUUGGGGUUGUGGGAGCAGGGUAAACAUUACAAGCACUGAAUAAAUGGCCACGUCCUAGACCAUUGUGCUACCACUUUGAUUUAUAAUUUAUCUUUACGAGAUAACUCAAUUGAUGCUUUUCAACUAAGGCAUUUAGCUACUUAGGUUUAAAAUCAAACUGCCCCUGAAUACCAAGAAAUACUAAAUCUAAAAGGUCAGCUUCUGGAUUUCUGUGGCCUUGAUAAGUGGCUUUUGGAUUUCAAUAUUGACAAACUGACCAAAAGGUCUUUAAGAUUGGAAGGUUAGGAGGAGGAGGAUCAGAUUAUUCUGCCUUCGUUCAGCAUGUUGGUGUUCCAGCUACUGAUAUCUCUUAUGGAGAAGGUAAAAUGAAUAUAUUCUGGUAAUCUUUUUCACAAAGCAAGAGAUGCUUGCAUCAAUGGUUAUUAGGCAGAUAUCCAAUUAAUUUCACCUUAAUGUAAUUUGCUCUGUCUUUUCAUUAAUUCCUUCACAUAGUAAGCUCCUAUGUCAUCUCCAAAACAACCCCCGGCCCUCUUCCCAACCCCCCUGUCCUCUCCCCAGAAGGCAAAAUAAAUGAAAAAAAAAAGAGCAGAAUCUAAUAAGACCACUGAGCAUUCAAAGCAAAACCUCGUACCAUAAAGCAUCCUAAAUAAAUAUAUCAGAGAAAUAAAUAGAAAAACAAUGUAAAAGCUCAAAACUUAAAGCAAUUUUUUUCUUUUUAAGCUAUUCAUGAUUCUUCAUGGUAAGAAUCAAUGAAGGGAUUUACGGACCAUGCAAGGAAAAUUAAUUUUUGUAUAGUAGGACUAAGAAAGCAGUAGCUUCGACAUACAAGCAUUAAGAACCAAAAAAAAAAACUUCUAAAAGCAAAAUAAUCUUACCAUCGUCUUUCCUCAUAACAAUUGGUCAGUGAGUGUGAUGAAAUUACAUCAGCCAGUUCUCUAGCAUCACUUACCAUUUGUAUGUAUGUUCAUUCUCCAUAACGUUGUGUUAUACCACUUGACUUUCAUUACAAGAGAAAUAAUGACAUUAUACUCGUUAGGCUCUAAAGCAGUGUAGUAUGACAAAUCACAAAUUUAGAAAAGCACAAAAUCUCCAUUUCUCUAAAAGAACACCCUACUAAGUAUCAUAGCUCUGGAGAUAUCGAGCAUGUUAGCAUAUCUAGGCAAAAAACUUUAUUUAGAUCUGGUGCAUAUUAUGUAUAACACACUCGUAUCAAUCUAACCAGUAUAGAAACAGUGCUAGAUCAGGAUCAACUCAGUACAUUGAGUUUCUUACCUUGAACAAUAACCUAUAAAGAACAUCUUUUUUAAAAAAUGUCAUAAAAACAAGGGGAAGACAGCAAUAGAAAAAGAAAAUUACAGGAUGAGUUGAGAAUAAGAGUCGGAGUAAAUGGUACAGGGACAUCAACCACAAUGUAUCAAACAUUUAAGAGAAAACAAUGGUGUAAGAUCAAGUAGAAGAAGAAGAGACAGAUUUUUUAACAGCCUCAAAACAAGGUUUGCUUACCCAUUAAUUACAUACCUCCUGACUAAUACACAGGCCAUCCAUCCACUCUCUGCUGCUAAUUGACUAGGCUUAAAAUUUUCAUCUACAACCUGCACUAACUCUGAACAACAUCAAAUAGACACCACAGCCUAGAAAUUAAUCCAAAAGAAUAGAGGGACCUGAUGAAGAUACAGAUGCAAGAUUGAUAGGUCAAAUGAGUACAUUUUGCCAGAUGUCUAGGACAAACUCUAAUAGACACUAAGAUCACCAUGAAUCAAGUUAGUUGUGAAGAUCAAUGUAUUUCCCCACCCAAUUACACUUCUAACGUUGCACAAAAGUCAAAACCUUGCCUCUCCCAUGACACUCUUAGAGCAUAAGAAUCUUGAAAAAAUAUAAUUUGCAGAAGAAAACAAAAUAAAAUCAGAAUCAGACCAAUACACUGAGAAUUCUAGCGAAUCAUCCAAGGCACAAUGUUCUAUUCAGUUGUCUUGACAGGCAUGCAUUCAGACAGAUUCUAGCCAACCCUUUAACAUCACUAGCAUACAAAGAACUGGUAAUGACAGAUGCAUAAUUAUCAUGGACUUAACUAGUUGCAAUCGAGAAGCUUGUCUCCUUAAAAAUGUGCAUGAAACAAGAAUUAACAUUUUUAUUGAGUACCAUCAUCUUUACUUACCACAUUACAAACACGUGUUGAGGCUGUGCAAUCAGAGUAGUUCAUAGUACAAGAAUUAAUUCGUAUAGACAUGACCCAGUUGACCUUAAAAGUACAUCAUGUAUAAAUUUUUUUUUCCUUAAGAAACAUAGACUUAUUAUUUCCAGCACUAGAGAUUCUCUUCCAGCACAAAAUAUAUCAUACUAAGCAAAAACGCUAGGCAUACUCCUUUUUAAGAAUCGGUCCAAUUCUUGAACUUUAUGACUUCUAACGUUUUUCAACCAUCACUUGACAAAAUUUGGUGGCUUGUAGAUUAUCCAGUCUAUCACUCAAUGUAUGAUGACUUCAUCUGGAUGAAGAAAUUUGGUGACCCAAAGUUUCACAGGCAUGUAGCAGGUUAGUUAUAAUUUUCUGCUAGAUAGUAGAAUUUACUGCAAUUGCAUAGACAUCUCAAUGGCUUCUGAGAUUAAAAGUUUCAUCACAUAAUUGGGAUGAGCUAUUAAUUAAUCAUCAGAAAUGCCAAUCUUACAGAAUCGAAAGUCACAAAGCAACUCUUAUGUUCAGUUUAAAACAUAAAUUAAGUUGAUCCCGCUUUUGUAAAUUCCCCACCAUCCCCUUAUUAGUAAAUCAGUUAACAUUUGGCAAUGAAAUCAAAAGUUGCAGGAAUCACAUGCAUAAUAAGACGGAUAGUGUGCAGAGAAGUGCAAAAAAUAUAUUAUUUAUUGGCCCUCUCCAAAUGAAAUUUCUUAGUUCAAGCGUCCAUUUGGCUAAAAGAGUUCCUAUAGAAGCAGGGUCUAAAAUCAACAUGGAAGAAAAACAACAAGACCAGGUUUCACUUAUCAGGCAUUCAAAAAAUAAUGCAUAUUAAAUGGAAACACAACAAAAUACUGAAAAACAUUAAACAUAGCAAAACACAGAUUCAUUUAACAGACAGUAUUCAGCAUAACUGACAGAAAUACUAUGUUGGAGAGAUGUGUUAAAGGAGGAGGAAGAAAAAGAAAAUUGCAAAUAGGAAGAAUUAAGAUAAGGCGACGAAAAACUGACGGGCAUAAAGGUUUCGAGCAGCAAGAAACAACAAUAAUUUAUCCAAUAGAGCCAAGAAACAUCAUAAGAACCUAUGAUUGUUUAGUUAGAUGAACAAUGUCAGAAAUGACAACGAAAAUAUGACUUAAUUCAAAAAUUAAAAAAAAAAAAUCAAAUACAGAAGCUUACUGCUUGUGUCAGACACUACACACUUUCAAGGCACUGAAGGGAACUCAAAAGUUUCAAAAGAAACGAAAGAUUACCUUAGACAAGUCAUUGCAUGCUCAAACACUUGCAGGACACAUCUCACCAAAUAUUAAAAUUGAGAUAAAUUUUCAUGUAUAAAGAAGAAACUUUUCAUAAAAAAUUUGGUAGCAUGAGUAGUACACAGUAAAAUUAGAAUACGAACCUGUAUCGAAUAUAUCAAGUAUCUGUUUCAGGCAUUUGACAAUCGACAUGGAUAGAUACUGAAUCAGACCCCUCUAAUAUGUUUUAAACCUAAAACAGACAUCUUCUAACUCCAUGUUAUAGUAGAUCAUGCAUAUAGUGCUCCAUGACACAUGACUGCUCCACAACAAGUACCAUUAUUGUAUGAUUAAAUUGUCACAUUUCCUAAUCUUCACGGAAGGAUAUAGGAGAAAUAAGAUGCUUUAAAUCAUGGUCUAUAUCGCAUCAAUGUCCAUGAAAGAUAUUAAAAUUUCAGUCAAACAAAUAUAGUCUCACAAAGAUUAGCUGCAUUCCGUAUACAUAGUUAUUGCUCCAUCAUCACUAAAUAUACACAUAUUGUGAUGCAAGAGCAAAUUUAAUAUACAGAUGUUGCUAGAGACGGAUUUGUUAUUCUAUACCACUACUUGUAUAAAAAAAAUUCCUUCAAUUGUGUUUUCAUUCAUGUUGUUUCCUAUCAUCCAUUUUCACAAAAGAGACGAAAGUUCACUCAAACAAUCUAAACCAUUAGAAACAUAGCUGCAUUAUGUACACAAAUAUUGCUUCAUCAUCAGUCACUGUUACAGUGGCUCAUGUGAUUCAACAGCAAACUUACAUUGUUAUAAUGCUACAGGUAGAUUUGUAGCUCCAGAUAUGUUAUACUUAAUAUAAAAAAAAUAUACCCUUUAGUUGUGUUUUCAAUCCUGUUGUUUUCUAUCAUCUAUUUUGUCCAACACAAUUCUACUUCAGCAGUUAAAUCUUUUCAUCAACUUGUUUCUUUUUGUGUACGAACAGUGACAAGUAUUUGGGGUUUAGUAGCACUUCAGCUUGCUGAUGAAGAAUUUUUACCUUUUGAUUAUCUGUCCUAUGCCAAUGAGCUGCAGGUAUGUUUCCUAUAGUGGAGAAAUGAGUAUAAUAUACCUGCUUCUACAAUUGAAAGUAAUCUAAUCUUUUGAUUGUUUGAUCCUGUAACUAGAGAAGUGUGGAAGACUUGAAAAUUGAGUUGUCAGAAAAGGGCAUAAAACUAUUUCCCUUAUUUAACUCUAUCAAGGAACUGAGAAUGGCAGCGACUAAAAUUGCAAACGAGAUAAAGGUACAUCUCCAGCUCUAUUAGUCAAAAACUUGGUAGAGAUCUCUAAGUGUGCUAAAUUUUAUUGAUAGAAGCACAAUUCAUUAGGUGCUACAAGACAGAAAUGUUUGGGCUUCUGUAUCAAAAAAUGACCACUACAAAGUAAGAGAAUUGAAUGACAGACUAAUGAUGGCAGAGCGAGCAUUCACUGACCGCGAAGGACUUCCUGGAAGGACAUGGUACAAGCAUUUGGUAAGCUUCUUUAAAUCACCUGCAAGUGACCUUGUUGUAGCUAAUUAAAAAUUCAGUUAAGUGCUUGUUAUUUCACCUUGAUUGAAGGUUCUUAUUUUUCUUCCAUUACAAAGCACAAAAAUGACAUCUACUUAGACCAAAGAAUUUCAGGAAAGAAUAAUCACAAAAGCAUUUGGAACAUCUAGCAUACCAAAAUGCGUGCAGCUGAAAAUGACACUUUUGAUAACUGAAACCAAAUACUGACUGAUGCUUUAUAUCAUUCAGAUAUUUGCACCAUCAAAGCACAAUGAUUAUGGUUCUAAGUACUUCCCUGGAAUAGAUGAUGCCAUCGAAAAGGCCAAAAGCAUUAACACCACAGACUUGUGGCUUGCAGUACAGCAUGAAGUCUGGAGAGUAUCUAGAGUGAUUAAACAUGCUUCACUGGUCCUCAGUGGUCAGUUAACAUGACUACCGUCAUCUUAUACCCCUAAAUUCCACGUGUGUAUUUGCUAUUAAUACUAAAACAAUUGGGUGACAUCUGGUGGACUUGCUUUAGUUCAAGACUGAAUCUGGGGAUUUUAUAUUGCAUUUUGUUUUUUUUCUUAGGUAUACUAUUGACUGUUCCUCAUUUGACUCACUAAUGGUUAGGAAAAAGAACUUGAUGGUCACAAAGGGAGAUAACCUGUAGUUAAGCUAAACAUGCAAACGCCCAAUCUGAGACCAUUUCUAAUAACCAUGUAGUCCAAGUCCUAGCUGCAUGAUACAAAAUUCCAACAUAAUUUCUCAGGGAAAUGAUUGGCAACUAAAUAUUUUACAGUUUAUUCUUGAUUUCUCAAAUUUGGAAAAUCAGUCUAUUGGUGUGCUUCCAUCUGAAGUGAAAUUUUCAAGAUCAAUACCACAGACAGGCUCUCACAAUGCCUCAAAAAUUUCCAUCCAUCAUUAUUGCAGUUAUCUCAAACGGGAGAUAAAUCCAAUAUUUAAAGAACUUCAUAGUGGUUGAGCAAACAAAAUACUACCUAAUCCUGAGUCCAACAGCACUAUAACAAAUUCUUUUGACAGUUUCACAGUUGAGCCAGUAAUGUGGCCUAGGCCAACAAAUAAGAAUUAAAGUUUCAAAAUUAGAGGUCUAAAUGGAGUACAACAGUUUCUGACAUACUGCAGUACCAAGCUAAAGGAAAGUUGGAUGUCAACACAAAUGAAAGCAUCAUUUCCAUUGCAAAAAGAAGAUAUACAUGUCACAAUAUGCUCAUUAAGCUGUACAACUAAAGCUAGGUUAGAAAUGUAAAGCAGUUAGGAACACAAAAAUCUGUAUUUCAGAUUUGGUAAAUACUGUACAAUUAUUUCUACUGAACCUACAAUAUAUACAAUGAACAACAGUUAUUUCCGAGUCCUCUACUUCCAAACCUUAAUUGCACCAUCCCUACUGCUCGAAAUCAGAAGCCUCUGGUUCAGCUUCACAGAAGCCAAAGAGAGGACAGAAUCACGGUGACAUCCUGCAGAAUCAGUGGCAGCACCAGCAAGGAUAGUCUUUGUGGUCAAUCUCAUUGUCAAAGGUCGUCUUCUGCCCUCCUGUUUGUAAAAAAGAUCAAUAUAAAUUAGUAGGCCAUCAUCCCAGAACAUAAGUGAGGGGCUAUUUCUCGUCCAAAUGCAGCUAGGUAAGUUUACAAUCACAGGCAAAAAGAAGAAGCGAUAGAGAACCAUUGAACUAAAGAAAAUCUUCAGUUUGAAAACGUACGACAUUUGAAUCCAACACUACCCCCCCCCCCGGGGGGAAAAAAAAGCCCAACCAUCAGUCCAGUUUUCUCCUUCCAGGCAUGGCCCAGGAUUUUAAACUAGUACCUUUACAAUGAGAAGGGAAGAAACUUCUCAAGGAUUGCCAAAAAAACAUACAACUUAAGAGUCCCUAAUAAUUCUGAAUAGAAGCCUACCCAAAUUUUUGAGAACUUCAUUAGAAACAAUUCAUGUCCCAAGUAAAAAAGAGAAACAAAUCAUGAUGAUGCCAUUAACAUACCUGCACAACUUGCACACCGUAGUAAGACUUUGUCUCAAAACUAUCAUCAUUUCCAACUCCCUUUAUAGAUGGUCCACAUACACAAUAACUUCGAUCAGGGCUGAAGCAUAGAUAUGCAAGGGUCAAUAGAAUUGCAAUGACUGCCCAAAUGCAUAAAGAAAAUUAGAAAAUGUACCUGGAAUGGUCCCAGCGACGUAUUUUCAAGUCAGUACCCCCUGUCAAUAGAUCCCCGCCUGGCAACGGAAGUAAAGCACGGAUGCCAGGAAGACGUGGAGGUGGUUCAUUCAACUCAUCGAUUCUAUAUUUCGAAUUAGCACUUAGCCUGAUAUCUGAUUUGGCAUUCCCCUUGCUGGAUGCUCUGGCUAAUGCCCAAGGCGAGUCAGAAAUUUCAGCAUCCGUCUCAUUAUUUGCUACCCUCAACACCUGCAAAAAGCAGAAUAAGUAGCACAAAAAUCCACCAGUAUAAAAGCACGAAAUGUUAUUGCAGUGAUUGAACGACAGGUGCCAACUGCUCAUUCCAUUCAUCAGUCUAACUACAAUAUCGGGGUUUCGUAUAUCUUAUUCGAGUGAAUUUCACAUUUAAAAUCUAAUUGUCUGUGACUUCCAAAGUAUCCCAGCACAACAAGUAUAUUCUCUCAAAAAUUACUCCCCAGAUGUACAUUAUACUUCCCCCUCCAAUCCUUCUGUAUCUCCAUAACUAAUCAUCCCUCCCAAGCAUGCAUGUUUACCAGCAAGAACAUCUAUAUGGAUCAUAUUCUUUCUAAAAUACAACAUCACAUCAAUCAAUUUAAUCACAUUCAGUCAAAUUUCACUCUUUUGCUAGAUUCUUUACUAUUUUGUAAAAAGUACAAAGUGAUCCAACUGUACCUGAUGGCAGCUUCCAUUUUCUGCAUUCCAAAGAGAAACUUCAUUACACCCUGCUGCAACAUAAACAAGAGGUCUGGUAGAUAGGGAGAAGGAGGUACUAGGAGGAGGAACAAAAAGGCUCAUUUUCUCAAUUGGGCAUGCAAGAGAAUACUGCCAUGAAUUGACAGGUAUUCCAAACCUCAAAUCCCAAAGGGUAAGCACGCCUCUUGAUGACCCAGUGACAAACCAGUUCCCACAAGGAUCUGCAACCAGAGAAGAUACAUAACCCUCCUCAGGGACCACUUUUGAAUUCCAAACAUUUGAACUUGUUCUUGUAUCCCACAGAUGAAUUCCACAAUUCUGGGUACUGUACAAAAUCAUUUUGCAAGCACCACCAUCAGGGGAGUAGUUCAAAAGGUUUAAUAUAGCACCUUCUCCAACUCCGUUCUUUUUAACAUCAGCUAUGCCUGAAUAUUUCUCCACAACAUUGCCCAGUCCCCCGGAUAUGUAAUCAACAGAGAACAUGUGUAUAGCUCCAUCACAAGCUCCAACAACAACUUGAGCAGAACCCUGGAUCACAGCAACACACAGUGCUCGACUUCCAUCUAAAGAAUAAGUUAGGCGCGACCUGAAUGAGAUAUCUUUUUCUAACCUUUUAGAAUCCCAAAUUUUAACAGUAGAAUCUUCAGAUGCACUUACGAAAAAGCUAUGGUCAGUGGAAACAGCUAUGUCAUUAACAGCAGAGUGGUGAUCCUGGAGAUGCGCAACCAACACCCCACGAGGCCUCCACCCUGAAUCUGGAAUCGUCGAUGUUCGCCCAAAAGAUGGUACAUCUGCACCCUCACUUGAAGCAGAAUUACUUUCAAUUGAAAGGGAACUCCCUUUUGUUGUACCAGACACUCCCAUUUCCAGAAACUUGUUAUUUACAAAGGCUGUUUGAUCCAUUUCCCUGUCUUCAACUUCAUGUACAACCCUUCGCAAUUGUGUGGAACCACCACCAAUGCUGAUUGAGCCUGAGAUAAACUUAGGAGCUGGAUCUGAAUUGGCCAAGCUAAAUGAUUUACUAACUGGAUCCAUCCAUGGCAAGGAUGCAGAACCAAAACCUAAAGAACCACAUGGUAAUGAUGAAUCAGAGACUGUUGGAGAGCCUGCAGCUCGUUUGUUAUCAACUUUAAAGUAAUACAAAGGAAUGCCUUGUGAUGAUUUCUCCAUUAAACUGUUCAUUCCACUAAGAGGUGGAGAGAUAAAACCGGGCAACUGCAACUUUUCAGAAUCCAGGAAGUCGCCAGAAUCCAUAGCCAUAGGACUUUGCACUGAGUUGCCCACAACUUUUGAAUUCUGGUCAUUAUCAUUACAAUCUGCAAGAUCCAGAGGCAGAUUUGCACGUUCAACAACUUUAUUGCUCUGAAGAUCUCUUUGUCGGUCAGACCAGCACAUCAUUGGAUCCAGCUCCUUCACCCCUCUCUGAAGAAAAUCCACUGUUUCCCAAUUUUUAGCCUGUGAGUCACUGUUGUACCAUAUUUUUCGCUGUCUCUCCAGCAUGUCUGAGCUCCUGGCACUUUCUAAAACACGAUAGUAUCUCUCUCUUGACACUGGCGGCUCUAGGCAUGAAAAAAGAGCCUUUUCUGAAGCUAAAGAUGCUGGUUGUCUACGCAGGAAGGUGCGUAUAACAGGCACAAGGAAAACAUAUGAAUCUACUGCACCUAAACUCUCACUGCUAGCUGCAAUGAAUGUGACAUCGGCCCUCCUGACCCAUUGACUAGGAUAACACAACAGUGGAAAAGCGUGUUCUAUCAUCUCAAGCAAGAUUCUCUUCCUUAGAAAUCCACUUUUGCAUAAAAUAGCUAGGCAUUCCAGUGCAUUCACAAUUACAGCCUCAGUUACAUCGCUUAAAGCCUGCUCAAUGUAUGGCAAAAGAUAUUCCUCGACACUCCUUUGUCCCACGAAAAAGCAGACAUAUAUGAUCUGUCCAUAAAACACUGCCCUGAGUUGCUCAUCUCGGUCAUUUAGGAAAGCAGGGAGGAUGGGCAACAAGAAAUCAUUACUCUGCCUCUGGCCAAAAAACCAGCAAAGAUUGCCAAUGUCAUGCAGGAGUGCUCUCCUGAUAUUUGGUGUUUGCUUUGGGCCCAUCACAAGUUCUUGAAUGACAUCCGCAAUAGACUUCCUUAAUUGCACAAGCUGUGCAUCACUAUUUGGACUGUAUCUCCUUCCAGAUGUAUCAGAGGAUGUAGAGAGUGACUUCUGUGGCGAACUUGAUUCACUGAGAACUCCUGCCUCACUCAAACUUAUAGAGUGAAUCAAAAACCCAUAAGCAGUAAGUGCCAGCUUAGAUAUAUUGCUUGCAUAACAUAUCCUUACACUUUCCUCUGGAUCAUCAGGGAGCAUGGAGAGCAUUGGAAGAAUAUACUCGGGAAAAAUUUUAGCAUCACUGGGUGGAAAAUCUCUGACUAAGGGAAGAAUGUCACAUAAAGUCUCUAGGGCAGCACAACGCACAAUUGCAGCUGGAUCUGAGAGCAUUGCAAUAACAUAUGGAAGCACACGCUGCAAUCGAUCUUCAUCAUCAAUGUAUAAGGAACACGACUUCAAUAGAAGCACAGCUCCUCUCCUCAUGAAUGGCAGUUUGACAUUUCUUAUGCAAGAACAGAGCAAUGAGGCAAUCAGAACCAUACCUUCACAGCUCAUGAUAUCUUGAGGUAAUGGUAGAAAAGGCAUACCAAAAGUGUCUGACUGGUUGUCAUAAUCCGACAUUAAUGAGUUCAAAUCACUUGUUGUUAUCUUUCUUAAGAAGGGAUGGUGACUUCUGUUAAAUAUAUUAGAGAUACUCUGAAUCAGCUCAUCAGGAGAUUGCACAUCACACUGCUUUCUGUUUUGAGAAUAUGCAGAUCUAGCCACACCUUCCAGCAACGGUUUCAUGCUAUGAAAUCGAUUAUUUUCCUUCACAUCCCUGAGUAGAUUACCAACAUCACCAAGAAGAUCAAACCUAUCAUGAAUCGAGCCCUUAUCCACCUUUUCUCUUUUGCUACUGGUGUCCUUCUCCACAUUUGUAUUAUGUUGUGCAUCUGUCCCAUGCAGAGAUUGAUGCAUAGCAUCUAAAGAAAGCGCCUCCCCAGAAACAGUCUCCUUGACUACACUACUGCUCAUCAUUUGUCUAAGAAUCUCUUGAAAAGACGUCUGGCAUAUUAAAACCUACACCAAGGAACUUUCUAAAUAAGCUUGAGCACAGCGUAAUUAUCACCAAGAUAAAGAUCAAGCACCAAAAAUGCCUUACCCUUGCAUCAGAAUUAAGGGGAUUCAACAAGGAAUAGAAAUUGUGGAGAAAUGGAGAGAAGUAGCCAGGAAACACAAUGCCAGAGAAGUUCUGCAGAUAGCUUUCAGCAGAAAAACGUGCCUCCGGAUCCAAUUGAAUCAUAUGAAGAAUCAUCUUGCGGAUUCCUGAAUCUGGAAUCUUUAUGCAAACAAGAUAAAGACCAAAAAUAAAAGUUAAUUUAGAGAUUCAAUAAACACUCUAAGUGGACUAGUAGGCAAACACUUCAACCUAUAUAGUGAAGUCAAUGUUCCAUGAAAUUUCUUGAAAGAGAUUAAUUGGGAAAAUAUGAUGACACAAGAAGAAGCAGAGAAAGGUCCUUUGGUUAGAGCCAAGUUAAAAUGGCAUUGACUAGAUCUUACUUUUUCUAGAUGUUGGCUAGGAUCAUAUUGUCCUCUACGAUAAGCAAGCAGUUGAGACAACUCAAACAAUGGCUGACCCUCGAGGAAUAGCUCAGCUAUUACACACCUGAAGCAAGAACAUGAAAUUGAAGAAAAGUGUAAAUCCAUUGUAUCACAAGGCAAGAGCUUAUUGCCAUAUAGAUAAAGACAUCCUCAUCAAAGAUUUGUGCCUCAACCAUAAAAGCAACCAUCCAAAGCCAAAAAAGUCAAGAAAAUUAGUUUGUGAACUGCUUUGUAUAACGUAAAAAGAGAACCUCUUGACCCAACCAAUAUGUAUAUACCAAUAAAAUGUAGCAACUAAAGCAAACAAAACUUAAAAUGAUAGACCACAACUGGAUUGCUUGGAUGAAAUAUGUAGAAAUGAUAGUAAUUAAUUUGAUUGUGCUCUAACAUGAACGCUCACUUGAGGGCUGUACAUGAUUAUGCAAGCCCAAUUAAUCUCCUAUACACUAGCAGUGUCUGUCAGGCCUGGAUGCAUGACAACUAAUUUUAAUUUCAAUUUGAAAUCCAAGUUUUACAUGGCAAGCACCCAAGGCCAACAGUGCAUUCAUUGUCGGUGCAUAUAAGAUUAAUCCAUAGACAAGAGCUAAAACAAAUGCUGUUGAUCUAGAACCCUAAUCUCUUUUUCAGAAAUACCAAUUUGAUUACCACAUGAUAUAGAAGUAUAAGUUAUUGCAAAGAACUUUGGUUGUUUAUGGACUCCUGCAAAAGCAACUGAUGUGAAGCGCAUCACAUUCCUUGAAUGGGUUUGGGGCAAUUUCAUUGCUGUUGUUGAGGAAUAAAUCAUUGAUCUACUUGUAGGAUUUGAUACAAAAGGUAAAAGAAUCUUUACCCAAUUUUAUUAAAGAUCUAUUGUCACCAAUGUACUGUAUUAAACAAAGAAUCUCACAGAUCAACAUAGUCCUACUACUUUCACAUACUUCAUCCAUGUGGGCCAAUUAUAAGUCCCAACCACACUUUAGUCAGCCCCCACAAAAAAGAACACAUUUUUUUCUCCAUGUUUUGACUUACUUAGUAAGGUGACAAUGUUAUUUGGCUAUUUGCACAACAGCAAGAUCGUCAAAACAAAAGAUGAACUUGCACAGCAAGCUAAAAGCUACAAGAUGUGAGUUCAAGGAAAUAACCUGUUCGAGCUUGCCAGAUCAAGUCAUUCAAAGUAACAGGCAGAAAGAGGGUAGAAAAUGAUACUGUUCAUAUAUAGCGCAAAGUCCAGGAUGCCAGAGAGAUACUAUCAUCUAUGUCCAAUAAGAAACAAUGAUUCCCACUCACACAAACGAUUUCAGACAAGUUUCUGACACAUAUCAAGCUCAGAUCCAGAAUUCCAUCAAAAGAUGAAAUGACUAUUGUUUUAAAAAUGUAAAGCAAGACACAAAAGUAGAAAUUUUAUCAUAUAAUAAAGAAAGACAAACAUGUGAUACUAUCAUCUAUUUAAUAAAAUAUCAAUAAGACAAGCAAUGUUCCUUAGAUGGAAAAACAAAUCCUGGAUCAAGAAACAUCUUAUUGUUAAGUUAACAUAAUCAGAUACUUUACUUCCAAGUUCAGGUUCUUAUAAAACAUCAGUGAUAUUUAUGCUCAAGCAGCAUAUGCAGGUAUAAGUAAAUUAAAAUUUCAGGGCAAACAAAGACUUGCACAAGGAAAAAAUUAUUCUUUCAAAAUGGGAAAGAAGGUCUCAUCAUAUCUUCAAUUCAGUAAAUUGCAAUCUAGUGUGUGCAUUUGUGUAUUUCAAUUCGCAUAAAUAAUUUUAAAAGCAUGUAUAAGUUUAGUUAAUGCCACUUCUCAUGUACUGGGAAAAGCAUAUUUACCACCUUUAGGCAUCACAUUAGAUUUCUCAAGCACCACUGCCCAUGCUUUUACAAGACAACAACCCUCUUGGCAAUAAAACAAAAGCAGUGCAAGGGGCUAAUAUAGAACAAUUUGCAGCAGAAGGGGCACUAAACUUGUUAGUGAUAUAGGCUGAAGCCAAAGAGAAAAUCUGGAACUUAAACAAUAACCGGGAAGUAAAGGAUUCUGGGUCAAUUGAUAAAAAAUUAGCAUAGGCAGCAACAAUUGUCUUUUGAUAGUAUUGCAAAAGAAAAGACCCACAUUGACCAAAAAAUCAACUGUCACAAUACAUGUUGCCACUUUCAACACAAUUUCCACUUAUCUGCACACUGACGUAAACAUGAUUCUACUACUAUGGAGCAUUUAAGAAGCAAAUGCUCCUUGAAUACCAAAACUUCAAGAACCAAAGCGAUAAAUUAUUUCCAGUGUAUUUUUUAAUAAAGUAAUCUUCAAUUCCAAAUUAUCAGCUCAAAUGCAGAAAACUUACCCUACAGCAAAGAUGUCCAUUGAUGGUUUUAAUGGUGCAUCUUGAGCAACUUGCGUUUCACCUCCAUGCCCAUAAAAUCUCUGAAAAAUGAAAGCAACUUCUAUUAGUGAGUAUAGACAAAAGGCAACUGUCACAUUCACUAAAUGCAAUUCUCUCUCUCUCUCUCUCUCUCUCUCUCUCUUCAUUCAUUUUCUUUGUAGAAAAGAACUUCUAAUAUUUCACAGUCUAGUUAACCAUGCUAUAAAUAACCAAUUUUCCAUUUGAAAGAGGAAAAGAAUCAAUCAAUACUUGGUAACAAUUUGAUGAUCAUGUGUCAUGAAUGGUCAACAUAGGAUCAAAAUUAAUCUCCAGUCCGAAUUAGUCUUACAGGGGAUGAUAAUUUCGCUGAUUGUGACCAUUCAGGUGAUCCAUACUUCAGGUAUUGGAUUCUUCUACAAGACUUUUGUUUUUGCCUUUUAUUUUCUACACUUCCUAAUGCAUUUUGCUUCCCAUCAUCAUUAGCAUAAUGUUUAUGUCCUUUCUGCACUAGAAGAAACCUAAACAUAUGUUGUUGUACCUAACAGACAAGGAGAAAAGAAAGUCCAUUUAUUUGUCUUCUUAUAUCCAUCCAUAACCUUAUCACAACUGUGAUCAUGAAUCCAAUAAAGCUUACAAAGGCAGCUGCACAAACUAAACAUAAAUGGUCAGGGCUACCAAGAAAGUUGUGAAAAUUGAAAAACAAUAUUUAUCGACCAAAAAGUUCGAGAAGAGUUUCCUUGUUUUACCUUAAUUGGACAAAGGGAGAACUCUGAAGUAAGAGAUCUAGAUGUCAAAAAAGCAAUUAAUAUGAAAUGUCUGUAGUAAUGAAUUUCAAUUUUGUCAAGGGGGCGAAAAAACACACAGUUACGUAAUUGCACAUAGAUUCAGCAAGGGUGUCAUUUAGUAAUUGUCAUGGUAAGUGCUGUUUCCUUAAACAUAAAUAAGCCGUCUGCCUUGCACUAAUAGGGGAAAUUACGAAUGUUUAGAAAGUUCAUCUUCAAAAGGACAAGGAGGAGGAAGCAAUAUUUGGUUGUUACUAGUUGUCAGGCAAAUUAAGAAAACCACUCCAUCGAACUAAAAGAAUCACCAAUAAAGCUGAUCAAGAUAGUCAAGUACUUUUAUUGUGAGUUAAGCUAGUGUCUUUGAAAAGAAAUACAACCAAAAACUCAUUCUAGCACUAUGUAUACAGACAACCAAAAUUAACUUUUCAUCUGAAAUUGGAUCUCACCAGCACAAACGAAUAGGAAGCAGACAACAUUCUCCAGAAUACACCAAAAAGGUCAUUCUUCUAGGGCACUUCUUACAGAAAAUAAGAAGUUACUUCCAUUAGUCACCAAAAGGAAAGAAGUUGACUCAUAUUAGGCAGGCCCUUUUAAAAAAUGAGAAAUAUAUGUUGUUAACUGCAUAGUGUUUCCCCCUAUCUUUAUGUUUUAUGACACCAGCCAACUGAAAGGUUGAAAGUCAGCCACUCUAAUCAAACAAGCAAUCCAUUAACAAUAUGAAAAAUCAUGACAAGAAGUUCAUAUAUCUAGCAAAACUUCUCUGCCAAGCAAUUUUAUACGUCCUCCCAGACCUGAAUAAUGAAAAGCAUUGUUUGGAUUGAGAUGAUUUCAGAUAAAAUAAUUUGCUUCACAAAUUCCAAUUACCUUUUUAUCUUCCCAGUCACCUUUUUAUCUCACAUACAUCACAUCAUAAAAAGCGCUACAGUAAUUAUCUCAAAUAAAUCAUCCAAAUAAACUCCUAUCCAAACAAACCCUCAUAACUAGAAUCCAAAUUUAUUUCAUUAAGCAAAAACCAGAAAGGUACAAUCAUAAAGCAAUGCGCCAAUGAAAAAAUUAGCAAUUCAAAGUAACAGAAGAUCUAAGCAAUUUUAUGAUCAUCUCAACUGUAUCACAUUCUAGGCAGGAUAUUGCCAAAAUCCCAAGGCUUAUGAGAUGCUUUAAAUUUGUAUUAGCAUUAACCCCUAUAGUACUAGGACGAAAAGUUUAAUUUGAAGUCAAGAACUAGAAAAGCUCAAACUAAAAUAUUAUUUCCCAUCCUGCAUAUGUUAACAUAGAUUUUCACAUAAAUAUUAGAUGAAUUACAAAAUUAAAUUAAAUUAAGCUUAUCUUGCUAAAUCUCUGGUUGGGAAAAAAAAAAGAUUAACUAGAAUAAGAAACCAACCUCAGGAGCAAGGUAACACCGCCUUCUUCCACCAGUGUCAAAGAAAAACGAAAAAUCAGAAGGAUCAUCAUGUGGAAUAUACGUCGGUUUGAAUGAUGCAAAAUCAGCAAGAUAAAGCCAGUUCCAGGAAGUAACCAGAACAUUCUCACACUUAAUAUCACCUGCAUCAGAUUAAAUUAAGUUACUUCUUCCUAAGAAUCAAUAUAAUGUUGCUAACAGAGGAGAUUAAAUUUACACUUAUCUUACCAUGACAAACUCCAUUUUCAUGGCUCUGUUUUGCAGCAUAAAGCAGCUGCAAGACCAAAAAUUUCAUUAAGCCCUAACUGCAACUAAAAGACUAACACUGCAAUGAGAAGAAAGAAAGAAACCUGAAAAGCCAGCCAUUUCUUCUCAACAAGACUGAGGAAAGGUCGAGUGCUCAACCGAUCAUGAAGAUUAUUAAAAAAGUAUUGCCUCAACAAGUAGGCAGCUUUGUCAGUUUCAAGCCAAAACUGCAGCAUACAACAUUUGCAAAAUAAGACCAUUUUAAGCCACCAAAAAAGCAAGAAAACAAAACAAUCAUAAAGUCUUAAACUCCUUAAAGCGACUAAAAACCACAAUUAUUCAAUCAUUCAGAAGGAUUCAUCAGUCAAUGAGACAAUUAAACAUCUAAAUGUAGAUAAAGUAAAAGCCCUCCUUUUGGUGUCAAAAAUUACUGUCAGUUUAUGUCACACCAAAACUGCCCUUUAGAGUUAGUAUUAAAACUACUCAAAUCUACUUUCAUUUUACAUCAUGAUCUCAAAAACAGUAGCUUCAUUUAUUAAGAAAAAGAAAAGGGCAAUAUAACCAUCUUUCCAGCAAGCACAGGCAUAGGAUAUGCCAUAUACACUAGUCUCCAGAAGUUAUUUCUGCCUUUCUUCAUUUUCAGUCGAAACUUCAGGGAAUUCGAAACCUAAAUUUAUGGUCAUCACCUAAACACAUUCCUACCAAAUGUAAAAGGAAGAGAAAAAAAAAAGAAUGCAAAGUAUUUCCAUCAAAGUAUCAGCCUCGUGGUGCCCCCAAAUUCCAAUGAAAAAAACAAUUUCAGACUGACAUGAAUGAUUUACAAAUUUGUCUUUAUAAACCUUCAAUUGGUAGCAUAAACUAAAUUAUUUUAAAUAAAUACUACUUUACAAACACUAUUUUUCCCUGAGCUCCACUUUCUCCUAAUACCCAUAUUGGUAAACCAUAAUUCUACCUAGCUUGUAACAAAGUAACCGGGAGAAAUUCAAAUAGCAGCAUCACUUUGAUAAAGCAUUAAUCUGAUGCAACUCAUUUCCGCCACUGAUGUCCAUUGCUUUUGGCAAUCCCAAAAGGAACACUAGUUCCCAGAGCUCGACUAUGAACACGAGCUUAAUAUUUACUUCUGGCCCUUUGCUUACUACAUAUUACGCUCUCAUUUAACUGCUUUAUAAGAUGCUGCAACCAAAAAUUAAAAUGCAUCCCUUUUAUUAAAUAUGCUUCACACUACAAUUUCUCUUCCACGUUCUUCUAAGGAAUGAAGUACUAAUCUCGGCAAGGGUGAUACCAAUUUUAGCCCUAUCCUCAAACUAAAAUACAAUUAAAAUCAAUUCACAAAUAUCAGUGCGAAGGUGCAUUUAUGUACAAAUAAAUGUACUUCAGAGUAAAAGUAGAGGCAGACCUGGAAGGGCCAGACAUGAGGGUGAUCGAGGCCAGUGAAUACACCGCGAAUUUGGGAGAGGCGGCGCUCGUAGUCGCGUAAGUCAAUGGAGUCCCCUCUUUUGAAAUAAACCUUGACUAGCACAAGUCCUUCGUCGUGCUUGCACAGGAUCGAUUUCAGGAAUCGUCCUCGGCCCAAGACUUCUUUCAAUACUAAAUUAUAAGAAGACGGUAAAUCGUGCAGGUAAUACUCCGUCGCCGAAGCUUGCGUUGUUCGCGCGAUUUUAUUCCCCAUUCUGAGCUUGUGUUGUUUUCCCUCCAAGCGUUUGAAUUAGCUAGGGUUUUGUUUUCUGUUUUGCUUUUAAUUGUUUCUUUCACAUUGCGCAGGUCCGGUUUAACGGUGACCGAAGCGCGGCAGAGAGGGGGAUCGGAGGCGGAGGUGGUGAUGGGAAGGGACGGAAAAGGGGGGAGCUGCGGUUGCGUGGGACUGUGUGGCGGAAGCAAGGUAAUGCUACUGCAGCGGAUCGUUAAUUUUCCAGUGGUUUAUUGCCAUGUCAUCAACGAUUUGUUUUCACGUCUUGCACAAGAUUGUGAAAAAGCGUGGACGUAAACUAUUCAAUGGAAAUUGCAUUUUCUCACGCUUUUCACCACUCCACUUUUUUUCUUUUUUUUUUAUAAAAAAAAAACCAGUCAAUGCUCUUUGCGGAUAAAUUUUGGCUUCUCCUUUUGUUGUGAAUUCUUGUGCUUUGUGUUAUAAGUAAGUUAUUAAAAAUCAAAUGUCAUAAUUCGGUCAAUCAUUAGAAAUUAAACAUUAAUGGUGUAAUAUAUCGUAUUGUUUUUCAUAAUUUAUACCAAAAUCCUACUAUUAAGCAAUAAAUUGCCUUCCAUAUAUUAACAAAUCAUCCAAAAUCCUAGUAUCGGGUAUUUCUACUAAAACAAGUUUUUUAAAUAUAAUGUUACAGUAUUACACAAUAACUCAAAAAAUAUUUUAUCCAUACAAUAUAUCAAAUAUUUCAAAAAAAAAUUAUAUACACUGUUACAGUAACAUUUUUCAAAAACAUUCCAAAAAACAACUAAUCCAAACGGAACUAAUAAGGGUGCCUUUGGGAGUUGAGGGUUUGGACUGAAAAGAAAGGGAGAGAAGAGAAAAUCUGAUUUUCCUUUGUUUGUGAGUUUUUAGUAAGAAGGAAAAGAAAAAAAUGGGAGGAUGAAUAGUAGAUAAAAUUUUUCCUCCCAAAUUGAAAAGAAAUGAAGAGAAAGUUAGAGGAACCUUAUAAAAUUUUUUUAAAAUACUUAUUUUAUCCUUAAAAAUGUCUUGAACAAAUAUAAUGACUUUCAUAUCCAAAAUCAUUCCACUAAUUCUCAAAACUCCCAAAUAACAUAACAAUCCCUUCUCUCCUCUCGUAACUUAAGUUCUCCCUUCUUCACUUUUCUAUCCUAAACUCCCAAACUUAGCCUAAGUGUGUAUUUAUAUCCUUUUUUGUUCUUUUGAAGGUGGCUAGCAUUCUCGAUAAAACAUAAGAAGUUCUCCGAUGCAAUUAGGAGGAGGUACUUGCAAAUAAAACAAUAGCUUCCCCCAAUCAAACUAUUAAAGUUCAAGCCAAGUCGUGCAAGCACAAUUAGCGCAAAUCUUCAACGUUACGUGUUAGAUACUUGGAUAUAUCUGUGAAAUGUUUUUUCGUGGAAUUAAACUUCUGCAAAUAUGAAUCAAUUAUUAAAUAAAAGAAAUAAAUUGAUUUCCUUUUUGUGCCCUUAUCGCCAUCAUAUUUACCUAUUCCCUGUAAUUUGCUAGGCUUGAUUAGAUUUAGAAGCAAGUAAAACAACGUUCUCAAUCGCGAGGAAGAAACCAUUCGAUCAUCAAAAAGAGUACGCCCAUAAGAAUUCCACACAGUAUGGAUUCACAGAUCGGACAACUCAAGGAACAGAAGAACGCACAAGAAUUUAUUUAAUAUGGUAAAUCACAGAUCACCAUAGAUUCAUAUAUCUAGGUAUAAUCAAAGGCGUAUUUACAUUUCCAAGUUCAUAAAAAACAAAGAAAUCAGAAGAUCAACAUUUGAUAAUCACAGCCGAUGACGAUGACGAUGAUAUUUAUGAUCUUCAGUCUUCGUUCUUAAUAGGAUCUUCAUAGUUGGGAUCAUUUACGUCGAGAGCUUCUUUGUGGAUCCGUCCUAGCUCAGCAUCGGAGUAACCGUCACCGGACCACGUGAACUUGCCGCCAUGGCCACCUUUCUUCGGCGAUCCAUUCAUGCCUGUAGCCGAUUUCCUGUCUCUCCUGAUCUCCUGACCGUUGCCGGCCUUCACAUUUGUCUUGGAGCUUUUGCCGGAAUUCUUCAUCUGUCUCUCUCCACUCGUGGCUCUUCUGUAUCUACUCUAUCAAUUGAAGCGAGUGAGAACAGGAAACCCAGGUUGGCAGAAUUUAUAGGAAGCUCGGGGGUUUGUACAUUGGGAGCGGUAUUUUAAUCGCGACCUUGUGGGCUGAUCAUGUAACAUGACAGCGACUGUAACAAAUGGAUAAGAACGGACUAUUCUGUCAUUUUUUUAUUUUAUUUUUUUGGGUAUGGGAACAAACUCCGGUUUUCUUUACCAGCCAAAUCAAUGAUCAUACACUCAC